rnacentral:misc_RNA from 1 species
GAAAUGCGAUAAUUAAUGUGAAUUGCAGAAUUCAGUGAAUCAUCGAGUCUUUGAACGCACAUUGCGCCCCCUGGUAUUCCGGGGGGCAUGCCUGUCCGAGCGUCAUUGCUGCCCUCAAGCCCGGCUUGUGUGUUGGGCCCUGUUCCCCCGGGAACAGGCCCGAAAGGCAGUGGCGGCACCGCGUCCGAUCCUCGAGCGUAUGGGGCUUUGUCACCCGCUCUGUAGGCCCGGCCGGCGCUUGCCCCCAUCAAUCUUUUUUUCAGGUUGACCUCGGAUCAGGUAGGGAUACCCGCUGAACUUAA